GAUGAACGCUAGCUACAGGCUUAACACAUGCAAGUCGAGGGGCAGCAUAAUCGAAGCUUGCUUUGAUUGAUGGCGACCGGCGCACGGGUGAGUAACGCGUAUCCAACCUUCCCCGUAGUAGGGCACAGCCCGGCGAAAGUCGGAUUAAUUCCCUAUGUUCUCCAAUGCAGGCAUCUAAGUUGGAGCAAAGAUUCAUCGCUAUGGGAUGGGGAUGCGUCUGAUUAGGUUGCAGGCGGGGUAACGGCCCACCUGGCCAACGAUCAGUAGGGGUUCUGAGAGGAAGGUCCCCCACAUUGGAACUGAGACACGGUCCAAACUCC
rnacentral:rRNA from 1 species